rnacentral:snRNA from 1 species
GUUUUUAAGGAAUAUUCAAUAAGACUUGAACGAUACAUAGAAGAUUAAUAUAGCCACUGCACAAGGAUGAGAAGCACAAAUUGAUGAGAUACAAUACUAU